GGGAAGCUCCGACCUGGAAUUCUCGUCAGGCCCCUCUUGCUCAACGGGGCGGCUUUGCCAACGGAGGCUUCCGAAAUCCUGCACGGGGAGAGGGAAUUUGGGAAGCCGAGGUGUUCCUGCUUCCCACAGGGCUGUUUCCAUAGCAAUUCCGGAAGGAAAGUCCUGUUUUCUGGGAUGAAUCGCAGGAUUUUUUUGGCUUUUAUCCCCGUGACAUUCCCAGGAGUCACAGCACAGAUGCCACUGCGAACACACCAGGGAAAGCUGCACCUAAACACCAGGAUACUCUGGGAAAACUGACUCUGAUCCCGAGGAGGGAGAGGAUGAUUCCCAGCCUCUUUCCUGGGAAGCUGCCGCCUGGGAAAACACAGAUGGAUCCGCCAGCUUGGCUGAGGGUUGGAAUGGCUUCCUGGUGGUCCCUAUGGAGCUGGGAGAGGCUGGGAUGCUCCGGAGCCGUAAUGGAUUGUGGACACAGGGAGACACAAGCCCGGACCGAGCAUUUAUUCCCAAGAUAAAACCAAGCCAACACGGGAUGAGCCGAGGUAGAUGGUCCAGUGGAUCCACGCGUCGGGAUCACUCCAAGCCAC